AACGGCCAUACCAUGCUGAAUAUACCGGUUCUCGUUAGAUCACCGCAUUUAAAAACAUCAUUGGGCGCGGUCAGUACUUUCUGGGUGACCACCUGGGAACACCGCGUGCCGUUG